GAUGAACGCUGGCGGCGUGCUUAACACAUGCAAGUCGAACGAACUGAGAAGAGCUUGCUCUUCAAGGUUAGUGGCGGACGGGUGAGUAACGCGUGGGUAACCUGCCCUAUGCAGGGGGAUAACGUUUGGAAACGAACGCUAAUACCGCAUAGACUAUGGAUCAUCGCAUGAUGAUUAUAGUAAAGAUUUUAUCGGCAUAGGAUGGACCUGCGUUGGAUUAGCUAGUUGGUGAGAUAACAGCCCACCAAGGCGACGAUCCAUAGCCGGCCUGAGAGGGUGAACGGCCACAUUGGGACUGAGACACGGCCCAAACUCCUACGGGUGGCAG
rnacentral:rRNA from 1 species